AGAGUUUGAUCCUGGCUCAGGACGAACGCUGGCGGCGUGCCUAAUACAUGCAAGUCGAGCGGACAGAUGGGAGCUUGCUCCCUGAUGUUAGCGGCGGACGGGUGAGUAACACGUGGGUAACCUGCCUGUAAGACUGGGAUAACUCCGGGAAACCGGGGCUAAUACCGGAUGCUUGUUUGAACCGCAUGGUUCAAACAUAAAAGGUGGCUUCGGCUACCACUUACAGAUGGACCCGCGGCGCAUUAGCUAGUUGGUGAGGUAAUGGCUCACCAAGGCGACGAUGCGUAGCCGACCUGAGAGGGUGAUUGGCCACACUGGGACUGAGACACGGCCCAGACUCCUACGGGAGGCAGCAGUAGGGAAUCUUCCGCAAUGGACGAAAGUCUGACGGAGCAACGCCGCGUGAGUGAUGAAGGUUUUCGGAUCGUAAAGCUCUGUUGUUAGGGAAGAACAAGUACCGUUCGAAUAGGGCGGUACCUUGACGGUACCUAACCAGAAAGCCACGGCUAACUACGUGCCAGCAGCCGCGGUAAUACGUAGGUGGCAAGCGUUGUCCGGAAUUAUUGGGCGUAACGGGCUCGCAGGCGGUUUCUUAAGUCUGAUGUGAAAGCCCCCGGCUCAACCGGGGAGGGUCAUUGGAAACUGGGGAACUUGAGUGCAGAAGAGGAGAGUGGAAUUCCACGUGUAGCGGUGAAAUGCGUAGAGAUGUGGAGGAACACCAGUGGCGAAGGCGACUCUCUGGUCUGUAACUGACGCUGAGGAGCGAAAGCGUGGGGAGCGAACAGGAUUAGAUACCCUGGUAGUCCACGCCGUAAACGAUGAGUGCUAAGUGUUAGGGGGUUUCCGCCCCUUAGUGCUGCAGCUAACGCAUUAAGCACUCCGCCUGGGGAGUACGGUCGCAAGACUGAAACUCAAAGGAAUUGACGGGGGCCCGCACAAGCGGUGGAGCAUGUGGUUUACUUCGAAGCAACGCGAAGAACCUUACCAGGUCUUGACAUCCUCUGACAAUCCUAGAGAUAGGACGUCCCCUUCGGGGGCAGAGUGACAGGUGGUGCAUGGUUGUCGUCAGCUCGUGUCGUGAGAUGUUGGGUUAAGUCCCGCAACGAGCGCAACCCUUGAUCUUAGUUGCCAGCAUUCAGUUGGGCACUCUAAGGUGACUGCCGGUGACAAACCGGAGGAAGGUGGGGAUGACGUCAAAUCAUCAUGCCCCUUAUGACCUGGGCUACACACGUGCUACAAUGGACAGAACAAAGGGCAGCGAAACCGCGAGGUUAAGCCAAUCCCACAAAUCUGUUCUCAGUUCGGAUCGCAGUCUGCAACUCGACUGCGUGAAGCUGGAAUCGCUAGUAAUCGCGGAUCAGCAUGCCGCGGUGAAUACGUUCCCGGGCCUUGUACACACCGCCCGUCACACCACGAGAGUUUGUAACACCCGAAGUCGGUGAGGUAACCUUUUAGGAGCCAGCCGCCGAAGGUGGGACAGAUGAUUGGGGUGAAGUCGUAACAAGGUA
rnacentral:rRNA from 1 species